AUUGAACGCUGGCGGCAGGCCUAACACAUGCAAGUCGAACGAGUGGCGGACGGGUGAGUAGUGUCUGGGAAACUGCACGAUGGAGGGCGAUAACUACUGAAAACUGUAGCUAAUACCGCAUACCUUCGUAUGUGCCCAGAUGGGAUUAUCUAGUAGGUGGCGUAAUGGCUCACCUAGGAGAACAUCCCUAGCUGGUCUGAGAGGAUGACCAGCCACACUGGAACUGAUACACGGUACAGACUCCUACGGGAGGCAGCAGUGGGGAAUCUUGCGCAAUGGGAGCAAGCCUGAGGCAGCCAUGCCGCGUGUAUGAAGAAGGCCUUCGGGUUGUAAAGUCCUUUCAGUGGGGAGGCGUUACCUGAAGAAGAAGCACCGGCUAACUCCGGGCCAGCAGCCGCGGUAAUUC
rnacentral:rRNA from 1 species